UCAAUGUGGGCAUCCAGCAAGCUGGCUCUUGCAUGGCUCUGCUCAAGUGGCGUAUGGGAGCACAGCUCCGUGAGGAGCGAUGAUGUAUGGUCCCUUUCCACAACAUUGGAAAGAAAGCUUUUUUCCUCCCUGGCUGACAAAGCUGGCGGAGGAGACGUCCUGUAUAUUCCUACACCUUCUUAGCACUCGUCAUUGCUAAGGAGACAAACCAUGCAGGACACAUCU